ensembl:lncRNA
GCGGCAGACUGCUGUCCCAGUCCUGCUCCACCGACAGACUCAGCACAGCUAACUGAAAGCUCUCUGACACCUUUUCAUUCCGGCAACUCUGGCCAAACCCACAUCUAUGGUCACACUCUCAGUCUUGCUGAUGGCUAUAACAGUAUCUGUAUAGUUCUACCCUAUUUUGCACUAGUAGUUCAUUCACUAUCUACUGUUUACAUAUCUUUUGCACUGAUACAUUUAAACAAUCAUAUAACUGUGAAUUUGCACUUUCUGUAUGGCUGACAUCAGUUAUCCUCACUUUAUGCACAUCAACUGUUCAUUGUCUGUUGUGUAGCUAGCUAGCUAGUAGUGUAAAAACACUUGUGAUCUUUGGUUUUGGAAUGUCAAGGGCUGAUGAUCUUUUUAUUCCAUUCAGCCCAGCAGUGGAAUUUCACCAGAACCAUUCAGCUUCUCGGGCCGUGCUAAGAGAGGACGAGUCAUGGGGAGGAUUUGUGAAUGCCUGCGUGAACUUUACCAAUUUUUUGUGCCAAUUGUUUCAGGUGCGUACUGGUGAUGGGACAGAGGGGUCUGUAUCAGCCAAUGGUAUUGCCAUAGAGAUGAAUCCGAGGAAGGGGUACCCACCCGUCCGACAGGUUAAUGGAGUCAUCAACAGUUUGCAGGCCAGUUCUCCAGAAAGUGCAGAGUUGGAGGACCUGCUCACCUCGCAGCAGCAGCAGCAGCGGCCUGGCUCUGCACCAGACAUCACUUGUGCGGCCGCCCGCACACGGCCGUUACUCUCUUGCAAGAGACGACGGCUCCUCCGGCCCAGCUCUGUCACCAUCCUCAACCGCAGGGUACGACACUGCAGCUAAGUCUGAUUUAGAAUUAGAUUUACCGCACAAUGGAAAUGUAAUGUCAUUUGUUAAAUUCAGCAAAAAUAAGGAGAGCCUGCUGGUUUGCACUAUGUCCAUGUUUCUAAUUUGUUUAUUUUAGCUUUCAGUCUCAUUAUUUUUUAUCAUUACAGGGUGGACUUUAGUUAAAUCCAUCCCGAUUGUUUUCUUGGCAGCUUAGGAACACUAAACAGAAUUCGCAUACUGUGCUAAUCUAAUAACACCAUGUAAAGAGACUAUAAAAUGAAAAAGAAAGAAUACUGUCUUCAUGUUUUAGGGGAGCAUUUUUGAGGCCUAUGUAGAGCAGGCUGGUAUCCAGGUCCAGUUUGUGAGCACGCCUCUGACAGUGCGGCAGGAUUGUGUAAGUGAGUGUGAGCGUGGGGGUAUUGCGUUGAAGAUCUAGACAACAGAGGAAGGUGUGGGUGUGGAGGCUUGUAUUUUGAGAACAGUGUGUGGGCAUUUGGGGGAAGGUUAAGCAGAUUCCCCUCAGAUAGCUGGAUGAGGGAUUGUAGCUGUAGCUUGAGCCUUCAGAAAGGGUGUUUGACCUUGACUAGAAAAUAGCUCAUGAUGUGCGUGACCUGGGGAAUUCAGACAGACUGCACAUUUAGCAGAAGAGUUGUGAGAAGAACCUGUAUAUCGAUACGUAUGAUCAAAUAUAAAUAUUUAUAUUGAAACAUUGACGGCCUAAAGUCUCCAAGACUUGCUGCCAGUUAGAGUUACUAAAGUUACUGCUUCAUUACCCCACAUGGUGACGCU